UAACUCCUCUUCUGUGAAUUUCUGGUACUACUGAGGAAAAGACACUGUCACAGGCCAGGACUUUGUGUGUGAGUGGAAGCACUCGUAGCCUUACGCAAGCAGUGCUCCUGGAGACACAAAACGAGUUAAUCAACACGGUGGUAACGCAGCUGAAACCCUGCUCCUGCUAAUUGGCGCACAGUACUUUGGUUUCACCAAAAAGCUCUCUGUAAGAGGAAAAAAAAAUGUUUUGGAAAGGCUAUGAUUCAUUUGAUGACCUGAGGAAAAACCUUUCCCAGUGCAACAAGGUUUUCCGAAUAUAACCAGUCUGACAACUUCUGGAGCACCCACGCAACCGCCCUCUACAGAGCCAGCUUUGCAGAUCCCAGUGUCACAGCUGCCCCGUUGGACCUGGAGAAACUACCUAGUAUUUCAGGCUGGUACAGAUGCUAGUGCUUGACACACCCACAGAAGACUGAUGCAAAGCUGGAAGAAUUCAUUUUUUCCUCCUUUUUCUGUUUCUCCACAUGCAAAAGGUUAAAUAACUUGUACAUUCUUACAAAAUACAAAAAAGAAGUUUGGUUUAACUCCAGCAGACUCACUGAAGUCACAUUACCUCUUAUCUGGGGAAACAAGAACUGAGGCAGGCUCUGAAGUUUCCUGCUAGGGCCCUUAAACACCUGCAGAGAGUUUGGUCUCCAGGUCCACCUUUUAACAUGCAAUUCUUCAACACUUUUAUUAUGGUGCUAAGGUUUAGUCCAAUAAGGUUUAUUAAGGUGUAAUGGUUUUUAUAGUUGACAUCACAUCAAGUUAUGCAUUCAACCUCUUAUCAUACACAUCUUGUUUGAACUGCCUCCUUUGUAGGAUUUACCGUCCAAUUUCAAAAAUUCUUAAUUGCAGUCCCACACUGCAGCAAGACUGGAAACUAAAGGGUAACCCAGUCUGCCUCCAUCAGGACAGGACUGAACAUAAGAAAUGUACAAGCUUACCUUAACGCUCCUUUAGUGAAGUGGGAGGUAAAGGAUCCAUUUAUGCCCAACCACCUCUCUGUGCUAUGUUUAUUUCUCAAACUCUCUUAACAGAAAAACAAAAAAAUCCAUUCUGAAGGUCUCUGAACUAAGGGAAAAAAUAAAGUCUAACUUUUCAAUUUUUUUUUUUUGGGGGGGGGGGGGGGCGGGCGGGGGUGUAUGGGGACGAGAUGCACACAAUGACACCAGAAAGCAUGCUGUAGGGCUUUAAGAUUACAGCAAUAGGUCCAGAAAACACUGGCCUCCUCCUCCUCCCCCAUAAAACACAGACUUCAGAUAGCAUUCUGCAAAGAACUCACUAACUCCUUCUGUGACUCUGCAGAAAUCAUAUCCUGUAAAUAUAAUCACUGGAACCCAGUGGGCUGCAGCGUUUAAGUAUCAUGCU